AACGAACGCUGGCGGCAGGCUUAACACAUGCAAGUCGAACGCAUCCUUCGGGGUGAGUGGCAGACGGGUGAGUAACGCGUGGGAACGUGCCCUUCAGUUCGGGAUAACCCAGGGAAACUUGGGCUAAUACCGGAUACGUGCGAGAGCAGAAAGAUUUAUCGCUGAAGGAUCGGCCCGCGUCUGAUUAGCUAGUUGGUGGGGUAAUGGCCCACCAAGGCGACGAUCAGUAGCUGGGCUGAGAGGAUGAUCAGCCACAUUGGGACUGGGACACGGCACAAACUCCUACGGGAGGCAGCAGUGGGGAAUAUUGGACAAUGGGCGCAAGCCUGAUCCAGCCAUGCCGCGUGAGUGAUGAAGGCCUUAGGGUUGUAAAGCUCUUUCGUCCGGGACGAUAAUGACGGUACCGGAAGAAGAAGCCCCGGCUAACUUCGUGCCAGCAGCCGCCGUAA
rnacentral:rRNA from 1 species